CAGUACCGCGGUAAUACAGAGGAUGCAAGCGUUGUCCGGAAUUAUUGGGCGUAAAGGGCUCGCAGGCGGUUUCUUAAGUCUGAUGUGAAAGCCCCCGGCUCAACCGGGGAGGGUCAUUGGAAACUGGGAAACUUGAGUGCAGAAGAGGAGAGUGGAAUUCCACGUGUAGCGGUGAAAUGCGUAGAGAUGUGGAGGAACACCAGUGGCGAAGGCGACUCUCUGGUCUGUAACUGACGCUGAGGAGCGAAAGCGUGGGGAGCGAACAGGAUUAGAUACCCCAGUAGUCCCUAUCUCUUAUACA
rnacentral:rRNA from 1 species